GAUUGUCUCCGCAGAAAGCCAAUGUUCAUGAUCAUUAUUCUUGCGGAUGAGGAGUCUCAAGGUGACCGGUGUUUGCUGGAGAAGCUGCUGUAAUUUGCAAGACACAUUUCAGUACUCAGUACCCACAGGAAGUAUAUACAGCCCUUGUCCUACUAAAAGUUUUUCUUUACAACCGGGAAAGUGGCCUUGGUUAUCUUUCCAAGGAGAUAUUUGGUUAAAGCACCAGCUACAGCCUGACCUCUGACGACUGCUGAGUAAGAACUUGACAGACUUCCCCCACUCCCCACCCUCAGGUGGGCAAAAUGGAUGAAAGUGGUCAAAAGCUUUGCCGAUGGUAUUCAGGAACAAGGCAUCUGUAUCUCCCUAUGGGGAAAACAAUAAGCAAAAAGCAGGCUCUUCUGGAACCACAGGCUCCUUGUGCAGCUGCUGUGUAAUCAGGAAGCUAGAGGUAGCAGGACCCGACCCUUCUGCCCAACACACCAGCCAAGAGCCUCUGGUGCACACAUCCUAGUUACCUGCUCAGAAAGGGAAACACAAUUGGUCAAUAAAUGCAAGAAAAAGAUCCAGCCACUCUAAGUUUUGCCUUUCAAAUUAUCAAAGAUUUUUAAAAACUUGCUAUACUCAGUCUUGUAAGGCUACGAUAAGAGACAUUCAUGUAUAAUUUGGUGGAAGGUGGGGGAGGAAGAGAUAUUUUUGUGUAGUAUUUGAUUGAA